rnacentral:rRNA from 1 species
CGAGCCCUGGACGAAGCACAAGUGAUCAUGCCGGAACGAGUAACGAUAAAACGGGUGAGAAUCCCGUUCGCCGAAAGCCUAAGGUUUCCUGGGGAAGGUAAAUCCGCCCAGGGUUAGUCGGGACCUAAGACGAGGCCGAAAGGCGUAGUCGAUGGAUAGCCGGUUAAUAUUCCGGCACCACUCAUGGCGGACGAAGGCGUCAGGACACUGGCCGGAAGGGGAUCGACCUGCUAGACACGGUCGUCGCGCAAGCGCGAGGGCGUAUAUGAUCCCGAAGUCUCCGGAAGGACAGACGAGAAAAGCCGACGCUGGACAAAAUGAGUGUCCGUACUAAAACCGACACAGGUAGGCGAGAUGAAUAUUCUCAGGCGCUCGAGAGAACGCUGGUAAAGGAACUCGGCAAAUUAACCCCGUAACUUCGGGAUAAGGGGUGCCUUUUGGGGUGCAAGCCCCGGGAGGCCGCAGAGAAAUGGAUCUGGCGACUGUUUACUAAAAACACAGGACUCUGCGAACUCGUAAGAGGAGGUAUAGAGUCUGACGCCUGCCCGGUGCCGGUAGGUUAAGGAAGAGGGUUAGCCGUAAGGUGAAGCUCGCAACCGAAGCCCCGGUAAACGGCGGCCGUAACUAUGACGGUCCUAAGGUAGCGAAGUUCCUUGUCGGGUAAGUUCCGACCUGCAUGAAUGGCGUAACGACCGGAUCACUGUCUCUACCAGCGACUCGGUGAAACUGUAGUUGUUGUGAAGAUGCAACAUACCCGCGACUAGACGGAAAGACCCCGUGAACCUUUACUGCAGCUUAGUAUUGGGUUUAGGCCCAGCAUGCGUAGUGUAGGUGGGAGGCUUUGGAGUCGGGAUCCCGGUCCCGGCGGAGCCGAGCAAUGAAACACCACCCUUGUUGUGCUUGAAUUCUAACCCCGACCCGUGAAUCCGGGCGGCGGACAGUGCUAAGUGGGCAGUUUGACUGGGGCGGUCUCCUCCCAAAUGGUAACGGAGGAGCCCAAAGGUACCCUCAACCCGGUCGGCAAUCGGGUUUCGAGCGUAAAGGUAGAAGGGUGCUUGACUGCGAGACCCAUGUGUCAAGCAGGUGCGAAAGCAGGGCUUAGUGAUCCGGCGGUGCUGGAUGGAAAGGCCGUCGCUCAACAGAUAAAAGGUACUCCGGGGAUAACAGGCUUAUCUCCUCUGAGCGUUCACAGCGGCGAGGAGGUUUGGCACCUCGAUGUCGGCUCAUCGCAUCCUGGGGGUGGAGAAGCUCCCAAGGGUUUAGCUGUUCGCCAAUGAAAGCGGUACGUGAGCUGGGUUUAGACCGUCGUGAGACAGGUCGGUCCCUAUCUGUCGUGGGCGUAGGAGACUUGAGCGGAUUUCUCCCUAGUACGACAGGAUUGGGAGGGACGUACCCCUGGUGUUCCAGUUGUCGCGCUAGCGGCAGCGCUGGGUAGCUACGUACGGCCCGGAUAAACGCUGAAGGCAUCUAAGCGUGAAACCCCCCGCAAGAAUAGGUCUCCUGUUCGCAAGAACGAAGGCUCCUGGAAGACUACCAGGUCGAUAGGCCGGGUGUGUAAGGCAGGUAACUGCCUCAGCUAACCGGUACUAACAGCCGAACGCUUCGCCG